UCAAGGUGCGGGCGGGGUCGGUUCCUUCCGGAAACUUUCUCCCAGCCUUUGGUGGUUGUGGGCCAUCCUCCGCUUGUAGAUGCUUCCCUGGCUGCGUCUCAUCACGUGGCCUUCCCUCUGCGUCUGUGUCUCUGUGUGUCCUCCUCUCUUCCCACAAGGACGCCGCUGGGUUGAAGGCCUCCCCCUAUUCCUGUCUGACUUCCUCCUGGUUACCUGCAAGGAUCGUAUUUGCAAAUAAGGUUACAUUCCGAGGUUCUGGGUGGACGUGAACCCUGUGGGGACUCUAUUCUGCCCAGUACACAGCACCACAAGGUGGAGGGAGCUUGGGUCCCUGACACUGAGGCACACCAGGCCAGGCUGCUCUAAAUGCCUACAGACGUGAUGAACAGAGGGAAGCAAACCUCUACCUUAUUUAAGCUACUAUCACUUUGAUUGUCCAGGGAGAUCUGUGGUCACUUCUAACUCAUGCGAAUAUAGCCCCUCAGAACCCCUCAUGCCAUCUACACAUUUCUCUUGGGGGCAUUCAUGAGUGGGGCGCUUGAAAGGAAGCUGAGUUCUCUUUAUAAUUGGGCACAGGGUGAAAACCCGACACAGCCUGAGGAGGAGAGGCAGCUGACAUCCGCCCGGAUGAUGUGUCUACCGAGAAGCACUUCCUGCGCUGAGCACUCUGAUUUGGGAGCACUGAGGAGGGAGACAAGCAUCCAGGGGUAGGACUGGGCAGGGAGGCAAGAAUGAGCUGCGAUGAAUCAUCACCCUGUCCUGUGCCUCCGUCUCCCCCUUGAGCCUUCCCACGAGAUCCCUUCCCGGAGGAACCUACCAAAAGGCUGGGUAGAGCCUGCCGACGACGCAGCCAGCGGAGGCCAGCCUGCUGCGAGGAACAGACGGGGAGGCCUCAGAGGGGCUCCCCACUGAGGAUGCCUAGCUGCCCUGGGUGGCGAGUCUCCAACUUCCCAGACGUCCUUGUUAGCCUCAUGUUUUGUAACGUCCUCCUUCCUAUCCUAAAAUGAAAUUCCCAGGUAAUUUAACCUGUUUGGCCACAUGACUUUAAAAUAAUCAUUAUAAUGCCCUAACUGUAAUAAAAAGAAGAAAUCAAAGGAAAGUGAUUUGUAAAAACCAAACCUAUUUCCGCAUGUAAGCACCUGGGCCCGUUACACCAGUCUGAUGCGUGUGGCCUUCAGGCAGCCAGCGCCCUGCGGCUGGUGCACGUGUGCCGUGGUAGCAACUUGGGUCCCCGGUGCUGUGGCCAUUUUCGAUGCGAGUUUUCCACACGAUGAGCGGCUCUCGGUAAAGGUCUGAAGCGAACCAAGACCAGUGUCACCGCAGCCACGCUCUUCAACAGUCCGGUGUGGCAGGCUCCCCCCAGGCGUGCCGCUUGCGUUCCCCCAACAUCGUGGAAAUGCCCCCAGUCACCCCAAAAUGCCCCCACCAAUGUGUGAAAUGCCUCCCUCCUCGGGGCAGCUGUGCCCCUUGUCUGAAAACCACUGCUUCGGGCCCUGGGUGUGGUGGGCAUAGGAACGUGAAUUGACCAAGUCCAGCUAAAGGCAUGGCCGUGGCAAGAGCAA